UACGCCCGUUGUCCAAUGGAAGCGCUGGCUCCUAAUGCCGGAGAUUUGCAUAAGGGCCCUAUAAAUAGGGGAGUGAUCGCGCUCCCCGGCACUCCGCUGUGACCGAGCAGCCAGCGCCGCGCAGCCAUGCCCGAGCCGGCCAAGUCCGCGCCCGCGCCCAAGAAGGGCUCCAAGAAGGCGGUGACCAAGACGCAGAAGAAGGGCGACAAGAAGCGCAAGAAGAGCCGCAAGGAGAGCUACUCCAUCUACGUCUACAAGGUGCUGAAGCAGGUGCACCCCGACACGGGCAUCUCGUCCAAGGCCAUGGGCAUCAUGAACUCCUUCGUCAACGACAUCUUCGAGCGCAUCGCGGGCGAGGCCUCGCGCCUGGCGCACUACAACAAGCGCUCCACCAUCACGUCGCGCGAGAUCCAGACGGCCGUGCGCCUGCUGCUGCCCGGCGAGCUGGCCAAGCACGCCGUGUCCGAGGGCACCAAGGCCGUCACCAAGUACACCAGCUCCAAGUAGGACGUCUCGGAUCGUCACUUUUAACCCAACGGCUCUUUUAAGAGCCACCAAUUUUUUCAAUAAAAGGGCUGAAUCAGUGCUUGUAGUGGGGAGGUAUGUAAAUAGCUUAACAUUUGCACUAUGAUCAGUGAAUCAUGGAGUUCUUUCUAGCUAGUUUAGUGUACCUACGAAUUUUUUUAGAAGUUUACCUUGUCUAUGCGCGGUUUACUAGCUUGCUUUUUCAAAACCUCUAAUCUGGUUCGUUCUCAAAAGGGACUUUAAAGCAGCAACAACUUGCCCAAUUCCAAGUCCCGUGGGGAAGGUGAAAUCGUGAUUUAAUUUUCUAAGGGUUAGUGUCUUACUCGAAACAUCUAGCAUUUAUUCUCCGUGCACAAUAGCACUAAAAUAAUAAAAAGGUUUUUACUGU